rnacentral:rRNA from 1 species
GCAGUAGCCGCGGGAAUACGGAGGGUGCAAGCGUUAUCCGGAUUUAUUGGGUUUAAAGGGUCCGUAGGCGGAUCUGUAAGUCAGUGGUGAAAUCUCACAGCUUAACUGUGAAACUGCCAUUGAUACUGCAGGUCUUGAGUAAAUUUGAAGUGGCUGGAAUAAGUAGUGUAGCGGUGAAAUGCAUAGAUAUUACUUAGAACACCAAUUGCGAAGGCAGGUCACUAAGAUUUAACUGACGCUGAUGGACGAAAGCGUGGGGAGCGAACAGGAUUAGAGACCCCCGUAGUCCCUGUCUCUUAUAC